rnacentral:rRNA from 1 species
GGGCCCGCACAAGCGGUGGAGUAUGUGGUUUAAUUCGAUGCAACGCGAAGAACCUUACCAGGGUUUGACAUCCUGCGAACCUCUUAGAAAUUUGAGGGUGCCUUCGGGAAUUGUGAUACAGGUGCUGCAUGGCUGUCGUCAGCUCGUGUCGUGAGAUGUUGGGUUAAGUCCCGCAACGAGCGCAACCCUUGUCCUUAGUUACCAGCGGGUUAAGCCGGGAACUCUAAGGAUACUGCCAGUGACAAACUGGAGGAAGGCGGGGACGACGUCAAGUCAUCAUGGCCCUUACGACCAGGGCUACACACGUGCUACAAUGGUAGGUACAGAGGGCUGCAAGUUCGCGAGGACAAGCAAAUCCCAUAAACCGUGGCUCAGUUCAGAUCGUAGGCUGCAACUCGCCUACGUGAAGGCGGAAUCGCUAGUAAUCG